rnacentral:rRNA from 1 species
CCAGACUCCUACGGGAGGCAGCAGUGGGGAAUAUUGCACAAUGGGGGGAACCCUGAUGCAGCGACGCCGCGUGAAGGAUGAAGUAUUUCGGUAUGUAAACUUCUAUCAGCAGGGAAGAAAAUGACGGUACCUGACUAAGAAGCCCCGGCUAACUACGUGCCGGCAGCCGCGGUAAUACGUAGGGGGCAAGCGUUAUCCGGAUUUACUGGGUGUAAAGGGAGCGUAGACGGCAUGGCAAGUCUGAUGUGAAAACCCGGGGCUCAACCCCGGGACUGCAUUGGAAACUGUCAGGCUAGAGUGCCGGAGAGGCAAGUGGAAUUCCUAGUGUAGCGGUGAAAUGCGUAGAUAUUAGGAGGAACACCAGUGGCGAAGGCGGCUUACUGGACAGUAACUGACGUUGAGGCUCGAAAGCGUGGGGAGCAAACAGGAUUAGAUACCCCAGUAAU